UGCAAAUCGUUCGUGCAUCGAGCACCGAACAAUGCACUUCAAGAGGUGUGUUCGUCUGUGAAGUCUCAAUCGCGCUUUAGAGGAAGGUACACACAGUAAUCUACAGCAGUGCACAAGCAGACAACCUCCCCAAAAAAAAACUGCCAGACAGCAGCUCAACAACCAGACAGGCCCGGGCAGGCGCAAAAUUAGAUGAUGAGGUUGAUAUUGAGGCUUCUCAAUCGAUCGGUUCCAGCAUCGGCCAAUUGGACGGACGUGAUCUCGUUUGCACCAUCUCGGUCAGAAGGGGUGCAGGCUGGAGGAGGUGUGGAGCCAAAAGGGGCAGGUUGUUUUUUUUUGCUGAAGGGAAGGGAAGGGCCUUCGGAAUUGGUUUAUGCGCAAGCAGUGGCGCUACCUUAAAAGGAAGCGUUGAUUGAACCUCUUAAUCUUCAGCGACGAAAACCCGAAACGAAACGCCCCGAUCCUCGUGUGUGUGUGUUGGAAAGGCGAGUUGGAAAGGCAAGCGGAAGUCGGGGAGGAACGGGCCGGUUAAGAAAGGCAGAGCUGAGCAUAGCUGCGCACGAGUGAAAGACGGGGCCGGGGCUAAUUUUCUGCCUCAUUUGGGGCGCGUAACUCUUGUGGCGGCGGCGGCGGCGGCGUGCGUCGAUGGCAGGAUGGGAAGAGCUCGCGUAAAAGCUUGCGAAAUUGACAAGGCUAGUGUGUGUGUGUGUGUGUGUGUGUGAACUUGGUCUAUGGGAAGGGGUAGGUUGAGGUGAUGUGAUGUGUGUGUGUAUAUGGGAGUGAGGAAGUAACAGGCAAAAAGGCAAAGAUUAAGAGCAGCUCACUGUGUGACGCACCGUCCGAGGGAAAAUCGUUGUACACCGUGGCUCGGAGAGAAGCAAGGAAAGUAACCUCGUAUCACCUGCCAACAGAUUUGGUGAUGGUUGGAAUCGGUAGCAAGGUUUACCGCAAAACCACCUGUGCCGACCUGUCCGGGCUGAGAAAUGCUCAAUGGCAUAAUAUAAAGCGAGGGGAAAAAAGUUGACACCACUGUCAUUGUGACUGCUUGAAGUGUAGAUCAUCAUCGUCUUCAUUUAUUCCCAUUAUUCUACCACUGAAUCAAAAGUGUAGAAUGCUUCAUAUUCAUUCGGGUACUGUUGUUGUGAAGUUAAGUGCAGAAGUAUUAUAAUCGUAUCUGUUUUAUUUGAUUAUAAUAAUAGGGGACCUAAAGCGACGUAAAGCGUCAACAAAGAUGUCUGCUUCAUUAGUGUAACAAAACGCGACCCUGCCAGCGGCAGCGUGUUUUGGAGCCGUUGGGUUUCCUCACCUCCGGGGCAAUCAUUCGUUCACAUAGCGUUGCUUUCCGGCCCGCUGGACAACGAUCGUAUCGAUCCGAUCGCUUCCAAUCGAUGCUGAACCGUCCAAGAGAAGAGGAAAAAGCAACACCCGUCGAUGUUGGAGGGAAAAACCCCCCGACUCAUUAUUCGGGGAGCGGAAAGAUCCCAAUGCAAGAGCGCAACACCGCUCUCGGCGAAGAGACUUCAACCACUUUUCUCCCCCUCUACCAACCGUUGCUCUCGAUGCUAUCGAUUGGCGAUUUUUAUCGAUUAUUAGUCGCAGCUUAUUAACUCUCGAAUAAAUUACGCCUCGCCAAUCAGUCUAUCGGAAUCGGUGGCCGAGAGUGGCUGUGAAGAGUUUUACGGUCCGCCGGCCAAAGGGACAACACUGCACGCGUUGGCCGUGGAGGAGCGAGCGGCUGUGUGUGUGUGUGUGUGUGUGUGUGAAAGCCCCAUUGGACGGUCGAUUUUGUUUAAACUCGGCGCACUUGCUCUGCUCUAGCCUAAAGUGGCUCACAACACGCAUGAAAGGCACAGCAAGGCAGGUUCGCUCAUAAGGCACCCGACUCACCAGCAACUGCCAAUUGAUUCGAGCUCGAAUAAACCACGAGCGGCGCUGCUCUUUAUCCACGCAUAUAUAUAUACAUCGUUUGUGCGCUGAAUCCGACGCGCUUAUGUCACCUUCAGGCGACCUCGUCCUGUCGUAACCGCUCGCUCUCUCGACCUAGGUUUCGCGCACCGCACGCAGCCAAUUACGAGAAAGCGCAAGAAAAUUUGCAUUUCGGGCUCGUAAAUUAGACGCGAAAAUUGCGCCGAUCGAUGUGUCGCUGUGUGUCGGAAUCGUGUUGUUCGCUGUCGUCUGUGCUGUGCGGUGCGUGCGGCGAUGAUGCUGUAUUGUACGGAAAGCCACCACCACCUGUGAGCGCAGGAAACAUAGCAGAAAAGGCAUCCAGCACAGCACAUCCGGCUGUAGAAUGGGAUGGAAGAGUGGACUAAAAUAGAGCAAAAGUAAGCAGAAGGAGGUUGAGGUUGCCGCACAGAUUCGGGUAGAAAUAUCUAAAAUCAGCUCUGUUUUAUUUACAAACAUCUGGGGCAUAUUCGUUGCAGCAUCGAAUUUCUAUCAUCACUCAUUCGUACGCUUGCAAGGCUUUCGGAAGGUGAAAAAAAGAUCUAAUUAAAUUUACAUCUGAUAAAUUCCAAUCUAAGCCACAAAUCUCGCCUCACAUGUCUAGCAAGGUGGACGGACGGUAGAGGGUUGAC